CCUACUGCCCCCCUCUACAAGGACGAGAAGGAGCAGCUCAUCAUUCCCCAAGUGCCACUCUUCAACAUCCUGGCUAAGUUCAAUGGCAUCACUGAGAAGACAGAGUUUUGCUCUUGUCGCCCAGGCUGGAGUGCAGUGGCGUGAUUUCGGCUGACUGCAAUCUCUACCUCCCAGUUUCAAGCGAUUCUCCUGCCUCAGCCUUCCUAGUAGCUGGGAUUACAGACAUCCGCCACCAUGACUGGCUAAUUUUUUAUAUUUUUAGUAGAGACAGCAUGUUGGCCAGGUUGGUCUCGAACUCUUGACCUCAAGUGAUCAGCCUGCCUCGCCUCCCAAAGUGCUGGGAUUACAGGCGUGGGCCACCACACCUGGCCCAUUUUCAUUUUAUAUGUAAGAAUCACCACAUGUAUGUGACGUAUUUAUUAUAAAUUAUAUUGACUUUAUUGAGCC
rnacentral:lncRNA from 10 species